rnacentral:lncRNA from 1 species
GAAACUGCAAUCGUCUGUUCUCAUGAAGAGACAGUUAAACGAUAUUUUGAAGAUAAAGUAUAUACAAAUACAAAUACCCGCUUCAUGCAUCCUCGUUGAAUCACCGGUACCCUCUUCAUCAUGCCCUAAUAGAGCUAUCGUUUGAGCUAUCGACCAGAACUGCGAUUCCAUGCAAACUUUCAUCAUCAAAUCAAGACACCC